GACGAACGCUGGCGGCGUGCUUAACACAUGCAAGUCGAGCGGUAAGGCCCUUUCGGGGGUACACGAGCGGCGAACGGGUGAGUAACACGUGGGUGACCUGCCCUCAGCUCUGGGAUAAGCCUGGGAAACUGGGUCUAAUACUGGAUAUGACUCCACGGUGCAUGUCGUGGGGUGGAAAGCCCUGUGCGGCUGAGGAUGGGCCCGCGGCCUAUCAGCUUGUUGGUGGGGUGANGGCCUACCAAGGCGACGACGGGUAGCCGGCCUGAGAGGGCGACCGGCCACACUGGGACUGAGAUACGGCCCAGACUCCUACGGGAGGCAGCAGUGGGGAAUAUUGCGCAAUGGGCGGAAGCCUGACGCAGCGACGCCGCGUGGGGAUGACGGCCU
rnacentral:rRNA from 1 species